rnacentral:rRNA from 1 species
AUUCGAUGCAACGCGAAAAACCUUACCCACCUUUGACAUGUACGGAAGAUCGCAGAGACGCGAUUGUGCUCGAAAGAGAGCCGUAACACAGGUGCUGCAUGGCUGUCGUCAGCUCGUGUCGUGAGAUGUUGGGUUAAGUCCCGCAACGAGCGCAACCCUUGCCAUUAGUUGCUACAUUCAGUUGAGCACUCUAAUGGGACUGCCGGUGACAAACCGGAGGAAGGUGGGGAUGACGUCAAGUCCUCAUGGCCCUUAUAGGUGGGGCUACACACGUCAUACAAUGGCUGGUACAAAGGGUUGCCAACCCGCGAGGGGGAGCUAAUCCCAUAAAGCCGGUCGUAGUCCGGAUCGCAGUCUGCAACUCGACUGCGUGAAGUCGGAAUCGCUAGUAAUCGUGGAUCAGAAUGUCACGGUGAAUACGUUCCCGGGUCUUGUACACACCGCCCGUCACACCAUGGGAGCGGGUUCUGCCAGAAGUAGUUAGCCUAACCGCAAGGAGG